rnacentral:sRNA from 1 species
ACUGAUCAUGGACACUCUGGAGAAGAAAGACUUCCUGAAGGUAGGCGACUCUACCUCUCCUGUCCUGGAAUGGGCAAUGGCUGGGAGAAGAAGUGACCAGGCCCCAACCCUCUCUCUAGCCUCGCCUGAGUCUCUAAGACUUGCCAGCCCUUCUCCUGACCCCUGUACCACCUCCUCCACCUUCAUUCAUUCAGCAAGAAUGAACUGGGCUGGGGUGAAGGAACCCUGCGGGGGCAGGACGAGAGGACAAGGGAAGGAAACCAACUUCAUCAGUGUUACUCCAGAGCCUUCUGACACACACAGAAGGGGACUGUCAUAGUCACGCUUGAUCUCAUGCUCAUUCUUUUACCCCCAGUGCCUCCAUACUGAGAGGUACACAUGGGUGAACACGCACACACAGACAUGAACAGGACACGAAAGCAAAGCACAGGAACAAGCUCUGGCUCAUUCACGGAAUCAUUUAUUCACAAAUGUAUUGAGUGCCAUGCACCAGGCAUGUUUUAGGGCUGAGGAGACAGCACUGAACAAGAUGGUUAUGGUUAUGGCCCCUGUCCUCAUGAAGUUUAUAGUCUGAUGCAGAAACCAAUAAACAAGGAGGCAACCAAUAAAUACAUUCUUAGAAAGUGUAAUCUGUGCUUUGUAGGAAAGCAGUGGGGGUAGUGUAACUGAGAUUCAUGGGGGAGAGCUGAUAGGAUGGUCAGAGAAGGGGUCUUUAAAGCCCCAAAGGAUGAGGAGAGAGCCAAAGAAUGCAGAGAAGAGUGUUUGGGGUACAGAAAACAGUCAGUGCAAGGGCACUGCAGCAGGAGAGGCUUGCACAUUUGAGGAACAGGUUGGUGGUCCCUGUGGCCAGAGCAAAUUGAGAAGAGUGCCGAGGAAGAGAUGUGCUUGGAAAGGGUCAGAUUCAUGCCACUGGGAUGGGAAGAGGUAAGUGGAGGUUCACAGGAGGUUUCCUGAAGAAAUCAGCUCCUUGGCCAGGGAGUGCCAUGGCAAUCAAUUCUGAGAGGUGAGACGUCAUGGGAUGUCAGGGAGGGUGAUCAGCAGACAGGCCUGGCUGGAGUGGAAGGGUGCGAUCUGGAGGUCCCAGCCCUGUCAUGGCCUUGGGAGAAAGAAAAGGGCCACAGGUCUAAGGGCUCCAAGGCAAGGCUGAUGGGAUAGAGCUAUGGUGGGUGAAAUGGGGUGACAGGGAGGCAGGGGACACAAGCCGUUCCAUUGUCUGUCUCUCCACAGCGCCGCCCCUGGCUGGGGGCACCUCUGCAGGUGGGACUGGUGGGCUUCUGCCUGGUAUUUGCGACCCCCCUGUGCUGUGCCCUAUUCCCCCAGAAGAGGUAAGUGCUGUCCCUGGGCUGGGUGGAGGACUCUGGAUUGGACUCUGCAUCUCUGGACCAGCUAACCUAGGGUCUUCCAGUGUGUUCAGGAGGAGGCCUGGCAGGCACUCCACUGAUUCUGGGAGUGGGGGAAUGACAGUGAGCCAGUCCUUCUGGCAGUAGAAAGAGAGGAUUCUUCAGCCUGGGAGGAGGUGGGAUGGCAAUCCCUGGGCCUGAGUGGGGUUGGAUUCAGGGGACGUUAACUGACCUGUGCUGUUCUAUUGCAGCUCCAUACACGUGAGCAAGCUGGAACCAGAGCUGAGAGCUCAGAUCCAUGAGCAAAACCCCAGCGUUGAAGUGGUCUACUACAACAAAGGGCUUUGAGGAGGGUCAGCCUCUGUCCCCUCCCUCACUUCCUUGGGCUGCUGCUUUAGUGGAGUCAUGUCACCCCUGCCACUUGCCUAUUUGCCUAGCACUGGGCAGGGGCCUUGGUGGGCAGAUGGCCAUUGAGGGUAGCAACCUAUUAGGGUAGGGGAAGUACACCCAUAAGGCUUUUCCUCCCUUCUCUGGUUUCAAAGAUCAGAGCACACAACCCCUCCCUCCUGUGCUUGAGUGUCCAUGCAUAUACAUACAUGAUACACAUGUGUAUGUGUACAUUGGGUCCUGAAAGCUAGGAGCAGGCAUGCUAGCCUAGUAUGUUCUGACAUCUGGCUUCCCUUCUCAGCCUCAUGUCCACCUGCCUGCCAGCCAGGCUACAGGUGGGACUUCUUUCUCUAAACUGUUAUACCAGCCAAGUUAUUUUUGAUGGCACCUCAUCCCUUCUAGACAUAGGAGGAGCCCCAGGAUCUCAGGACAGAGACUUAUAGACACUAGUAGGACAAAGUGGGCUGAAUCCUUCAGGAUUCUGAUACCUAGCUCCCCAAGCUGACUGGGCUGGCAGAGGAGAACAUGUUGGGAUAAGGGAGGCAGGGGACUUAUGCAUCCCUCAGUGCCAUCCCUUGUAUCCUGGAAUAGCUUCAUUUCCCCUCCUCCUCUCUACCAGACAAAGGAGUGCCUGUGUCCUAUACUGCCCUCGCUAUCUCCCCCACCACCGUACUCGGUAGCGUGGGCAUCUUCAGGCACAGCCUUGGGAGUUCCUGGUGUGCUCUGACAUCAUGACCUCAAAUCUAAAUCCUCCAAUCCCAACUCCCUUUCCCAAACAAAAAGCCACAGAGGCAGAGCAAGCAUUCCCCUUUAAGAGCUUCCACUGCACCCCCUCCCAAGGGACACAGCUGUAGGAGUGGUGCUUAAACUCCACAGGUAUCAGAGAGGGUGUAACUAGGACAUCCUCAAGGGCAGCUAGGCCCCGAAUGUACAAUGUUGAGACAGGGAAUUUUGUGUUCCAUUGACUUUUUUUUUUUUUUAAUGGAGUUUCACUAUUUUGCCCAGGC